rnacentral:ncRNA from 1 species
CGUUGAGGUUUGGGCGUCGGCAUCGAGCCACCCACCUCCCGUGAGGCGGGUGGCGAGAGGGAACCCGGUGAGAAUCCGGGACUGUCCCGCAGCGGUGUACGGGAACGACCGCCGUCAAUGGCACUGGCCCCUCGGGCUGGGAAGCGACGGCCAGUAGGAGCACCUCGGUGCGCGCCUGUGAGUCCGAAGACCUGCCGGCUGUACCGGGCGCGC